rnacentral:rRNA from 1 species
GACGAACGCUGGCGGCGUGCUUAACACAUGCAAGUCGAACGGAAAGGCCCUGCUUUUGUGGGGUGCUCGAGUGGCGAACGGGUGAGUAACACGUGAGUAACCUGCCCUUGACUUUGGGAUAACUUCAGGAAACUGGGGCUAAUACCGGAUAGGAGCUCCUGCUGCAUGGUGGGGGUUGGAAAGUUUCGGCGGUUGGGGAUGGACUCGCGGCUUAUCAGCUUGUUGGUGGGGCAGUGGCUUACCAAGGCUUUGACGGGUAGCCGGCCUGAGAGGGUGACCGGCCACAUUGGGACUGAGAUACGGCCCAGACUCCUACGGGAGGCAGCAGUGGGGAAUAUUGCACAAUGGGCGGAAGCCUGAUGCAGCAACGCCGCGUGCGGGAUGACGGCCUUCGGGUUGUAAACCGCUUUCGCCUGUGGCGAAGCGUGAGUGACGGUAAUGGGUAAAGAAGCACCGGCUAACUACGUG